rnacentral:rRNA from 1 species
UACGUAGGGGGCAAGCGUUGUCCGGAAUCAUUGGGCGUAAAGCGCGCGUAGGCGGCCCGGUAAGUCCGUUGUGAAAGUCAAAGGCUCAACCUUUGAACGCCGAUGGAUACUGCCGGGCUAGAGUCCGGAAGAGGCGAGUGGAAUUCCUGGUGUAGCGGUGAAAUGCGCAGAUAUCAGGAGGAACACCAAUUGCGAAGGCAGCUCGCUGGGACGUCACUGACGCUGAGACGCGAAAGCGUGGGGAGCAAACAGG